CGGACGGGUGAGUAACGCGUAAAGAACUUGCCCUUUAGACUGGGAUAACAGAGGGAAACUUCUGAUAAUACUGGAUAAGUUAGUAUAUCGCAUGAUAUGCAAAUGAAAGCUACGGCACUAAAGGAGAGCUUUGCGUCCUAUUAGCUAGUUGGUAAGGUAAGAGCUUACCAAGGCGAUGAUAGGUAGCCGGCCUGAGAGGGUGGACGGCCACAAGGGGACUGAGAUACGGCCCUUACUCCUACGGGAGGCAGCAGCU
rnacentral:rRNA from 1 species